AUCUGCUACUGCUCAACAGAACAGAUACCAAAAGCUACAGAAGCACCAAGAAAUUGCUGUCUCAAACAAUGUUGCUGCAAGAUAUGUUAUCCUGGAGGAGAUGGAAGAUCAAGAUGAUGAUGCUUGAUUUCUCUUGUGGUCACCAUGAUCAAAUUUUAUGAGCUUAUUGGAUCAGUGUCCAGGUUGAUGCUCGUCACCUCAUAUGAAUUGAGACAAUCUGGGGAUAUUCAAAUGGUAUGUAGAUUUCCCCCUGUAUGAUGGUUACUAAACUAACAGUCUCAUGGAGAAAAUUGUUAGUAAGUAAUAAUGUUAGGCCAACCUCAGAAAUGCAGCUUCUACUGAUCCUGACCAGGAAAUUUCUAUUAGCUCAUAUAAACUUUAUCGAUAUGAUUUUAUGGUUCCUCAAUGAGACCAUCAGUGGAAAAGGGAAGAUUCCAUGGGUUGUGAGCACAAGCAAGUUGGCCUCUGGCAUUGAAAAUUUUUGACCAAAAGACACGCAUUUGCUAAUGAAAAUUGUCUCAUGUUGCAGUAGAAGAAAUAUGUAUGUGAUUGUAAUUGUGAGUACCAAAAAAAAGGAAAAUGAAUUCAAUUGAAUUUUAUUGUUAUGAUUUUUCUCUACAACCCCAUUUUUCUGUAUUAAAAAAAAAAAAUCAUGGAUGUAUAGGGCAAUGACAAUAGGCAAUGGACUGGUGGGACUUGGGAGUUCAUGUAUCUUUUUUGUUAAUGUCAUUUAGGUUUCUGCAUCAUGUGAAAUUUGUUGACUUUGACAAGGAUCAUUUUGUUAUCUCUGUUUUAUUUGUCUAUUAUUAAUCGAUGCAAUAUUAGUACA